ensembl:lncRNA
AUGAUGGAAGUGAAGCGAGAGGAAAAGGAAGGUCGCUCUGAAGAAAGAAGAACGUGCAAGUACGGACAUCUUGUGACUCACACUACAUACACACAGGCGCAGAGGAUCCCAAGGGUCGUGACUCCGGACAGACUCGUGCAGAGUUUAUGAGGUCCAGGGUCCAGCUCCAGUUCCUCUACGGGGCUGUAAAGAGGCUAUAAAGAUGUGAACAGAUACCUCAGCCCCUCUUUACAAAUACAGAAAUAAGCAAAAACAUGUGGCACCGGGAAUGCUGUUUUUUGUGUAUGUGUGUGUAAACGUGACGCAGGUGAUUUAAAGCACUGAGCAGCCUACAACAGCCGGUGUGGCUUAUCUGCUGUAACUGCAGUUACUGGAUUUCUAACAAAGGGAGGAAAGGAAAAGGGGGCAACAAAAAAAGCUGUAUCUCAGCUGGAGAAGCAAAACCAUCCACUAAUGGAGAACUGGGAGUAUUCUGCCUGGGAGAAAUGUAACAUAAGAUUAAACAUAAAAAUGUGCACCAACAAAAGAUAUCAUCUCCAACAAUACCAAGACCGGAGGAAGCAACUGUUUGCAGGACUGGAAACGAAGAGACAGGGUUAAACCUAAAUAUGCUAAAUCAGGGCUUAAAUGAUCAAUAAUAGCAAUAAAUGUAAAUAAUCACUGAAAUAUACAAAAGUACACAAAUAACAUGAAAAACAGAGAGUUGUUAUGACUUUGCACUGGUAGAUUGCACUCUGUAAAAGGCAUCUGCCUUAGUUAUCCGCCUCUUUCCAGCUUUUUCUAAUUACAGUAAAGCCUAUGGCAGACCAAAUAAAUCAAUAAUUAAAAACAUACAGUACCUCAGGGUGCUUCAGUGCCCGAACAAUAAAAACACUAAAGUGCAUAUAAAACAGUUAACGGUGAAAACAAAGGUGUCAGCCACACAGGGAGAGCACACAAAGCAUGUGAUCGGAGCGCUUGGGGUCAGCCUGCAGUCUGCACAGCUGCCAGCCAGGAGCCUAUUUAUUAAUUUGUGAUUUCGCACCUGAUUGGCUGCUGGCUUCUGCUCGGCUGUUAAUAUUCUCGAGCUAGACACACACACACACACACAUACGCAAGCACACAAACAAAAAUCACUUUUCAGAGAACACAAGGCAUCAAUGCACGCUUGCUGUUCAAACUGCUCGGCAUAAUCAUUCCCAUGAAUAAUAAUUGCUCGGGUGCUGUGCUUACAUUAUGAUUUUAUUGCAACUUUGAAAAUACCAUUCAAACUUUUGGUUUCUGUAAAGCAUCAUCAGUAGGGAUUAGCUUUUAGAUUAUCUGACCCGGUGUCUGACUUGUUACAACUUGAUUUGAUUCAAUGUUUAAAACGUGGCUGUUAGGAGCCACACUGGUGAGUCUGUUACUGUAAAUCAUAGCACAUGUAAACCCCAAACAUUAAAAAUGUAACCAUGGUUCUGGAGGAAAAGUCAGGGCUCAUUAUCUCUUCUUAGUGGGUGUGAAAGAAUUGCAGUACAUUUCAUGCAUGUCAACGUGCUGAUUGUUAUCAGGAACCCAAAUAACUUGCGUGAUAUUUACAUAUGUGGAAAAUGUGAAGGUGUGAUGACAGUUUUGUUCUAGACAAAACAUGUUUACUCUGCUGAACGAGCAGAAGUGUUGGCACAGACAGAUCAAAACUGUCCCCUCUCACCCGUCGCAGCACAUGGCCAUCCUUCCCUGAGCCUGGUGUUGCUGGAGGUUUCUCCUGUUUAAAGGGAGUUUUUCCUUCUCACUUUUGCCAACUGCUUGCUUAUGGGGAGUCAGAAAUAAGGUUUUCUAUUAUUGUAGGGCAGGGGUGGGGAACUCCAGGUCUCAAGGGCCGGUGUCCUGCAGGUUUAAGAUGUGUCCCUGAUCCAACACAGCUGAUCUAAAUGGCUAAAUGACCUCCUCAACAUGUCUUGAAGUUCUCCAGAGGCCUGCUAAUGAACUAAUCAUCAGAUUCAGGUGUGUUGACCAAGGGUGAUAUCUAAAACCUGCAGGACACUGGCACUCGAGGCCUGGAAUUGCCUACCUCUGACUUUUAAAUAUAAAUCUAAGAGUACUCAAUCUUCAUUAAAAUAUAAUUAAUAAUAUCUACAACCCAUUACUACAAACUGUGACAAAGGUUAUUAUGGCAAAUUCUGGCCACUGCUGUUGAUACAGGAUUAGCACGUACUAAAUGUGCCCUUCAAAGUAAGAUACUUUGAACA